rnacentral:rRNA from 1 species
CUGACUGCUAUCGGAUUGGUACUAAGCCAUGCGAGUCAUUGUAGCAAUACAAGGCGGACGGCUCAGUAACACGUAGUCAACCUAACCUAUGGACGUGGAUAACCUCGGGAAACUGAGAAUAAACCGCGAUAGAUCAUUAUGCCUGGAAUGGCUUAUGGUUCAAACAAUUUAUUGCCGUAGGAUGGGACUGCGGCCUAUCAGCUUGUUGGUGAGGUAAUGGCCCACCAAGGCUAUAACAGGUACGGGCUCUGAGAGGAGAAGCCCGGAGAUGGGUACUGAGACACGGACCCAGGCCCUAUGGGGCGCAGCAGGCGAGAAACCUUAGCAAUGUGCGAAAGCACGACUAGGUUAAUCCGAGUGAUUCCUGUUGAAGGAAUCUUUUGUCAGUCGUAAAACCACAGACGAAUAAGGGGUGGGCAAGUCUGGUGUCAGCCGCCGCGGUAAUACCAGCACCUCGAGUGGUCAGGAGGUUUAUUGGGCCUAAAGCAUCCGUAGCCGGCUUUGCAAGUCUCCGGUUAAAUCCAGCUGCUCAACAGAUGGGCUGCCGGAGAUACUACACAGCUAGGGAGCGGGAGAGGCAGACGGUAUUCUGUGGGUAGGGGUAAAAUCCAUUGAUCCAUAGAGGACCACCAGUGGCGAAGGCGGUCUGCCAGAACGCGUUCGACGGUGAGGGAUGAAAGCUGGGGGAGCAAACCGGAUUAGAUACCCGGGUAGCCCCAGCUGUAAACGAUGCAAACUCGGUGAUGCAUUGGCUUAUGGCCAAUGCAGUGCCGCAGGGAAGCCGUUAAGUUUGCCGCCUGGGAAGUACGGACGCAAGUCUGAAACUUAAAGGAAUUGGCGGGGAGCACCACAAGGGGUGAAGCCUGCGGUUCAAUUGGAUCAACGCCGG